UUGAAGGUUAAAAUAUGGGAAGAGGCCAUAAAAGAUAAGAUAGAUUUUCUAGGGUCUAAUAAGACCUAACCUUUGAAAGAAUUGCCUCACGAGUACAAACCAAUGGGUUGUAAAUGAAUUUUGAAAAAGAAUCUAAAACAUUAUCCUUGUAGGGAAGGGUUUUAGAUAAAAGAAAAAAUAUAAAUUUCUUCAAUAGUUUUUCCCUUGUAACAAGAAUAACAUCCAUAAUGGUA
rnacentral:lncRNA from 1 species